GACGAACGCUGGCGGCGUGCUUAACACAUGCAAGUCGAGCGGUAAGGCCCUUUCGGGGGUACACGAGCGGCGAACGGGUGAGUAACACGUGGGUGACCUGCCCUCAGCUCUGGGAUAAGCCUGGGAAACCGGGUCUAAUACCGGAUAUGACUCCAUGACGCAUGUCGUGGGGUGGAAAGCCUUGUGCGGCUGAGGAUGGGCCCGCGGCCUAUCAGCUUGUUGGUGGGGUGAUGGCCUACCAAGGCGACGACGGGUAGCCGGCCUGAGAGGGCGACCGGCCACACUGGGACUGAGACACGGCCCAGACUCCUACGGGAGGCAGCAGUGGGGAAUCUUGCGCAAUGGGCG
rnacentral:rRNA from 1 species